ensembl:lncRNA
GGGGCACCCUCACUUCUCCGGGGCCUCACAGCCCUCUGAGCCGUGCAACGAGUCACUCUCCCUCCUGAUUACGAACUCUCCCACCCCUGCUCGUAGCUUCCUGUUUGCCAGGGCAGCUCUGGGGUGAGCACAGUCUUGUUUUCGUGCAGCUCAGCCUUCCCACAGGCUGCGGUUUCAGCAGCUGACAGCACCGGGCGCCCCGCAGCCAGGUGUGACCGCACGGGGUCGGUUCGGAGCGAAGGAGAAGAGAGGGGAGCUGAGAUCAAGAAUGAGGAGAACAGAACCCUGGGGAAGGUGCUGUGGUCCGGGUGGCUCCUGGCUGCACCCAGCCCAAUGUCCCGCAGCAUCUCCACAUGGCUCUCCUACAGAGGAAGGGCCCACAGGACUGCGAUGCCCGUGAGCUGACCACCAUCCAUCUCCUGACAAAUGAUGCUGUGCAGGUGCCUGGCUGAUGUUUGCCCUUGCCAUGCCAGCAGGAUCCCAUGAGUUCCCAGCUCUAUGGUUUGGUACAAAAGACUCCUUGCC